rnacentral:rRNA from 1 species
CAGCCGCCGCGGGAAUACGUAGGUGGCAAGCGUUGUCCGGAAUUAUUGGGCGUAAAGGGCUCGCAGGCGGUUUCUUAAGUCUGAUGUGGAAGCCCCCGGCUCAACCGAGGAGGGUCAUUGGAAACUGGGAAACUUGAGUGCAGAAGAGGAGAGUGGAAUUCCACGUGUAGCGGUGAAAUGCGUAGAGAUGUGGAGGAACACCAGCGGCGAAGGCGACUCUCUGGUCUGUAACUGACGCUGAGGAGCGAAAGCGUGGGGAGCGAACAGGAUUAGAUACCCCCGUAGUCCCUGUCUCUUAUAC